UACUGAUCAUGCUGAUAUACUGGAAGUUCAGCAAUAAUUUUUUGUCAAGGAUUCUUUAAGACCCAAAAGCUAUUGAGAAAUCUUGGUCUAAGGAGAAGAAAAGAGAGCCGAAGAUUGAAGCUUGAAGAAGUCCAGCGUUUCAGAUCAGAUGAGGAGCACUGGCUGGUAAAUGAAGAAGGAGAAGGAGCAACUGAAGAGGCAGUAGACAAUCCAAACGGAUCUAGUAUCAUGGAAACCAAGUCAGUGGAGGAUCUACUGGAGUGGCAUGGUCAGCUUUGUUGUGCUUUGAUAAGAGGGUCAACUCAGAUUCUCCAAGAAGCAGGCACCAAGACAGAAUUAGAUGUGAAAGAAAUACACUCAGAGAAAUGCUCUUGAAGGAUAAAGACGCCAAGGAGCAAGAGGAACUGUAAAAACCUCCAGAUCAUGUUGCUGUUUUCAAUAGUUCUUUAUAUAGAACUAAAUGAAAUUGUCUGAGUUUUGACAAUUAUAAUAUUUUAUUUCUGAUUAAUCAGAAAAUAGUUUGCCAUAAAAAUUUAUCACUUCUGAUAUUAGCACAUAAAUUUGUUUUUAUUGUAAUUUCAAAACUAAUGUCAAGACUGAGCAAAUCAUAAGAUGGAAGCACCUGUGAGUGCCUGGGACCCUCAAGAUCAUCAAAUCCAGCUUUCCCUGCAGAGAUGGUCUUUCAACUUUUGCCUGAACAUCAUCCUUGUGAGGGAAAUCGUUUCAUCACAAAGCAAUCCAGUUUACUACUGGAACACUGCAAUUAUUUGAAGCAAAACAUCUGGAUCUACUGGAUAACACUGCUCACCAACACUGGUCAUCUUUGUCUUUACCCAAGGCAAGUAUGCCACCUUAUAAAGGACUUUGCACUGGACAUGAUGGUUUACACCCUACUCGAGAGGCUGAAGUGGGAAGAUCAUUUGAGCCCAGGGGUUCAAGA
rnacentral:lncRNA from 1 species